rnacentral:rRNA from 1 species
UCUCGACCGGGGCGACAGCAAUAUGAAGGUCAGGCUGAAGACCUUACCCGAUUAGCUGAGAGGUGGUGCAUGGCCGUCGUCAGUUCGUACUGUGAAGCAUCCUGUUAAGUCAGGCAACGAGCGAGACCCACGUCCACAGUUGCCAGCAUACCCUCCGGGGUGAUGGGUUCACUGUGGAGACCGCCGCUGCUAAAGCGGAGGAAGGAGUGGGCAACGGUAGGUCAGUAUGCCCCGAAUCUCCCGGGCUACACGCGGGCUACAAUGGUUGGUACAAUGGGCAUCUACCCCGAAAGGGGAAGGAAAUCUCUUAAAGCCAAUCGUAGUUCGGAUUGAGGGCCGCAACUCGCCCUCAUGAAGCUGGAGUCCGUAGUAAUCGCGUUUCAACAGAACGCGGUGAAUACGUCCCUGCUCCUU